GCCAUGUCCCUCAAUUAUAACUUGCAUCGACUUGGAUCUAGAAACUGAAUCUCUUAUCAUUGGUCGCGCUGGAUUGGUGACAUUGAAGUUUGGGUUGAAGAAUCUUUAUCUUUUUCAAGCUCCUAGUUAAGAGUGUUACUACCAAGACUCCCCAUAAGUGCUUGCUACUAGAUUGGGUGUUCAGGAGAAGUCAUUGUUGAAGGUAGAUGGUCUUCCAAUGAUCCAUCUGUUAUUGAUGAUGUUGUGGGUACUAUUGUAGCAUGACCAAUGGAUAAAGUCAAACUAUGUGAUUGAUGUGUGGAGAAAACAUUGGAGCAACACAUAUAGUUGGAUAAUAGAACUAUUGCUACAAUUUGAACAUCUUUUUUUAUCCUAUCAAAAAUUUG